UACAGAGGGUGCGAGCGUUAAUCGGAAUUACUGGGCGUAAAGCGCGCGUAGGCGGCUUUGCAAGUCGGGUGUGAAAUCCCCAGGCUUAACCUGGGAACUGCCUUCGAUACUGGCAAUCUCGAGUCCGGAAGAGGUAAGUGGAACUCCUAGUGUAGAGGUGGAAUUCGUAGAUAUUAGGAAGAACACCAGUGGCGAAGGCGGCUUACUGGUCCGGUUCUGACGCUGAGGCGCGAAAGCGUGGGGAGCAAACAGG
rnacentral:rRNA from 1 species